rnacentral:rRNA from 1 species
GACGAACCGUGCGAACGUUGUUCGGAAUUACUGGGCGUAAAGGGCGCGUAGGCGGCAGGUCAAGUCGGUAGUGAAAGCCCGGGGCUCAACCCCGGAAUGUCUUUCGAAACUGGCCAGCUCGAGUGCGGAAGAGGCAACUGGAAUUCCCAGUGUAGCGGUGAAAUGCGUAGAUAUUGGGAAGAACACCUGAGGCGAAGGCGGGUUGCUGGGCCGACACUGACGCUGAGGCGCGAAAGCCAGGGGAGCAAACGGG